UGGGGAAUAUUGCACAAUGGGCGAAAGCCUGAUGCAGCAACGCCGCGUGAGUGAUGGAGGUCUUCGGAUUGUAAAGCUCUGUCUUUUGGGACGAUAAUGACGGUACCAAAGGAGGAAGCCACGGCUAACUACGUGCCAGCAGCCGCGGUAAUACGUAGGUGGCGAGCGUUGUCCGGAUUUACUGGGCGUAAAGGGUGCGUAGGCGGAUGUUUAAGUGAGAUGUGAAAUACCCGGGCUUAACUUGGGUGCUGCAUUUCAAACUGGAUAUCUAGAGUGCAGGAGAGGAGAAUGGAAUUCCUAGUGUAGCGGUGAAAUGCGUAGAGAUUAGGAAGAACACCAGUGGCGAAGGCGAUUCUCUGGACUGUAACUGACGCUGAGGCACGAAAGCGUGGGUAGCAAACAGGAUUAGAUACCCUGGUAGUCCACGCCGUAAAACGAUGAGUACUAGGUGUAGGAGGUAUCGA
rnacentral:rRNA from 1 species